rnacentral:rRNA from 2 species
AAAUUGAAGAGUUUGAUCAUGGCUCAGAUUGAACGCUGGCGGCAGGCCUAACACAUGCAAGUCGAACGGUAACAGGAAGCAGCUUGCUGCUUUGCUGACGAGUGGCGGACGGGUGAGUAAUGUCUGGGAAACUGCCUGAUGGAGGGGGAUAACUACUGGAAACGGUAGCUAAUACCGCAUAACGUCGCAA